CAGCAGACCCUCCCAGCGCUGUGGAAGGAAGCGGAAAUAAACGUCGCAAACCGUAUGCUAGUAGCUCCAGACUCCGAGGACUGGGUGUAAGCGACAUCUCACACACAUCGUUCAUUGCCUCCAAAGAGGAAGCAGGGAGUGGAUAACUACGCGAAAGAGGUUUUUGUUUGUCACGGUGGCAGCAUCAAAACGGAAUAUCUCGGGUGGUACCUUACUGUGACCUUUAUGUGAGGUCCAAGCCCUAAAGGAGCGGGUCACAGACGGGAGGAGAGACUCGGAGGAAAGCAUCUGGCCACAGAAGCCGGGGAUACGCGUUUUUAUUUUUUAUUCAGCCCCCCCCCCUCCCCGAAACGCAACCACAGCGGUGCUCCAGCACGCGUCUUGCGACCAUGGAGGCCAUCGCCAAAUACGAUUUUAAAGCCACGGCUGACGAUGAGCUUAGUUUCAAGCGUGGGGAGGUCCUCAAGGUAAGUGAGAGCUAUCUGAGGAUUUAAUGUUAGGACUUGUCUGCAUUACUCAUUAUUAGGAAAUGCUGGGUAUUUUUUCCCCCUGCUGUAGGUUUACUUCAUGCGUAGUACUUCAUCCUCUGUAGGAUCAAAAUCUUAAUUUUGCCCAUGAGAUCAGUAUGUUCUCUUUCAUUUAUACCUAACAUGGUCAUACACUUACUUGCCAGAUGCAUCUGUCAGUGGAAUUCCUAGAAUCUAAAAUCCAAAGCACUACUGCAUACCGUCAUGUGACGGUACACAUGGUAAAUUGCAUGUGGCAGCAGAACAACACAGUUUCAGGCCCUAGAUGUUGUGGCUCAUUGUGUGAUUCUAAAGGAACAAUGCGUGUGUAAAAGGGCCCAUGAUUUAAAGAGGCAAAAGAUGCCCGUUUUUAGUUUUCUUUUUUUUUUUUUUUUUCUUUUUCUUUUCCCCAUUAUGGAGCGUCUCUAAAGUGCUCUCUGUUGAAAACCCCAGGCUAGUCCGGAUCCUCGGGCAGCAGAAGCUUAUUCAAAGCCUCAUGCUUUCUGGUUGCCUGAAAAGUGUUUUUUGUCAUUCUGGCCUUGAUGAGAUAGCCAAGAUAUUAGAAGGUACAAA